rnacentral:rRNA from 1 species
UACGAAGGGAGCUAGCGUUGUUCGGAAUCACUGGGCGUAAAGCGCACGUAGGCGGAUUUGUAAGUCAGGGGUGAAAUCCCGGGGCUCAACCUCGGAACUGCCUCUGAUACUGCGAAUCUCGAGUCCGGAAGAGGUGGGUGGAAUUCCUAGUGUAGAGGUGAAAUUCGUAGAUAUUAGGAAGAACACCGGUGGCGAAGGCGGCCCACUGGUCCGGUACUGACGCUGAGGUGCGAAAGCGUGGGGAGCAAACAGGAUUAGAAACCCGUGUAGU